UGGGGGAUUUUGCACAAUGGGCGCAAGCCUGAUGCAGCGACGCCGCGUGAGGGAUGAAGGCCUUCGGGUUGUAAACCUCUUUCGCUGGGUUGAAAGGCCAUGCUUUGGGUGUGGUUGAUUUGAACUGGUAAAGAAGUACCGGCUAACUACGUGCCAGCAGCCGCGGUAAUACGUAGGGUACUAGCGUUGUCCGGAUUUAUUGGGCGUAAAGGGCUUGUAGGUGGUUUGUCGCGUCUGUCGUGAAAUCCUGUGGCUUAACCAUGGGCUUGCGGUGGGUACGGGCAGGCUUGAGUGCGGGAGGGGAGACUGGAAUUCCUGGUGUAGCGGUAGAAUGCGCAGAUAUCAGGAGGAACACCGGUGGCGAAGGCGGGUCUCUGGGCCGUUACUGACACUGAGUAGCGAAAGCGUGGGGAGCGAACAGG
rnacentral:rRNA from 1 species